GUGAAUCAUCGAAUUUUUGAACGCAAAUUGCACUUUCUGGUAUUCCGGAAAGUAUGCCUGUUUGAGGGUCAGUUAAAUAAAAAUCGGUGUUAUUGCGAUUAAUGUUGAUGCAUCGGAAUUGAGUCGUCUUGACCAUUUGCUUUAUGGGACUUAAAAUUAUGUACGAUUUCUGAACGUAUCUAUAUUAUGUACUUACGCUCAUGAUAUCA
rnacentral:misc_RNA from 1 species